AUGAUCAGGCCAAAAGAGCAGGGCGGGCUUGGCUUCCGGGAUUUUCGGCUUUUCAAUCAAGCCUUGCUUGCCCGACAAGUUUGGCGACCUCUCUCUAACCCUGACAGCUUGUGCGCGCAGGUUCUCAAGGCUCGAUACUACCCCAAUGGGCGCCUGGAGGAUACAGUCUUCUCCGGCAAUGCGUCUUUGACAUGGCAGUCUAUUGUACACGGCCUCGACCUCCUUAAGAAAGGGUUAAUUUGGCGCAUUGGGGACGGCGUGUCGGUCCGCAUCUGGCAAGAUCAAUGGAUUCCGCACCCGAUUGCACGAGGCCCGAUCUCCCAGCAAGGGCGCUAUCGACUACGGCGAGUCAGUCAACUCUUGGACGACCAUGGCAAUUGAGACGUACCUCUUCUCCAGCAACACUUCUUGCAUGUGGACGUCAUGGAGAUAUUGAAGAUUAAAUCUUCUUCAAGUCAAGCUGGUGAUUUUAUUGCAUGGGCGGCGGAGCGUACCGACGUCUUCUCGGUGCGGAGUGCAUAUCGUCUCGCCCUCAACGAACGACUCCUACCAUCGUCGGUCGCAGCGAGCAGGGCACCAGACGGGCGACAUGUCGUCUGGGCACUAAUAUGGUGGUGCCCUGCUCCGCCUAAGGUGCGUAUAUUUGCGUGGAAGCUUGCAUCAAACUCAUUGGCCACUUGGGCUAAUAAAAAGACACGAAAACUGGAGAUUACUGAUACAUGUCCACUAUGUGUGAUGGAGCGGGAGGACACGUUCCAUGUGUUUUGCAGAUGUCCCCGCGCGGUGGAGCUCUGGCGAGCUAUGGCCAAACAUUGGAACUUGCCGAAAGAUGUCCCCGCGCGGUGGAGCUCUGGCGAGCUAUGGCCAAACAUUGGAAUUUGCCGAACUUAA
rnacentral:rRNA from 1 species